UGCAAAAUUAUGUUCAAUCAUACGCAUUAGCUAGCACAAAUAAGCUAGCUCGCCAAACUUGUCAUGACUCAUGUAGCCUAAUGACGCGAAUGCCUCGGUGAAAUAAAAAAUAUGAAUGUGUAAUUACACAACGCUACAUUUAUAUGAUAUUUCCAGAUCGCUAUUUCAAGAUUAUGCUUUUAAUUGUGUGGUAAGCGAUCCGAUGGCCACUGAUUUUGUGCUACCAGAACCAGUAGCGUAGGCCUACUUGUGCCAAAAUCAAGUUGUUUUGCUAACGAACUAAAAUGCAUACCCUGGUAUUUAUGGUUACAGAUCAACGCUGAGACCAAGGUUUGCUCUGAGCACUUUGAGAAGCAGUGUUUUGUAAAGACCACCCGUGUUAUCACAAAGCUUAUAAAGGAUGCUGUGCCAACUUUCGCCUGGACUUCAGAGAGGCCAAAGAGGAGAAUCAUCAUUCGCAGACCGAGAGAUGAUGACCCAUUCCUGAAGUUGGACGCCAGAAUGCAGGAAGGUGCUGUUUAAGAGCCUAGGCGGUGGAAGAAGCACUUGCAGGUAUGCUACCGACCAGGCUCCUCAACACCAAUCCGAGACGGAAGAUGAAACGGGAUGAAGCAGUUAGAUUGAGGAUAACGUACCUCAACAGUCUUCUUCAGAUUCUCUACAAACACAGUCUGAGUGGUGAUUAGAACAUGCCUGGCAUCCAAGGGUGUGGCCAGUUUGUUAACCCUUAACACUCUACACUUUACAAUUAUAAUUAUUUUACACUGUCUGGACAAGAUGUAGAAUACUACUGAGCGACAGUGAUAUGUCAUGUUCUUAAUACUGUUAUAUCCUGUCAUUACAGACAAGGCGGCCGGAAACGUUGAUGACCUCAAUGACACUGGCUAGGUGAAGGACAUCAACAAAAUGGCAUCAGGUCACCAGACAUCAGCUCAUAAUCCACAACAUCAUCAACCAUUUUGCGCCAAAAAUGAAGCCGUUCACAUACCAUGGCAUCCUAAGCAGGCAGCACUACACUACUAUGCAACAGUGAGAGAGAGCGGGCAAGGACAAGUAAAGCGGACCUACACUACAGCAAGACUUUGACACUUCUCCACGUUCGAG